rnacentral:rRNA from 1 species
AGCAGCCGCGGUAAUUCCAGCUCCAAUAGCGUAUAUUAAAGUUGCUGCAGUUAAAAAGCUCGUAGUUGAAUUUCGGGACUAAUAUGUCGGUCGUGCCUCGGUACGUACUGGUAUUUUUGGUUUCUCCCUUCUGACGAACCUUGAUGUCAUUAAUUUGGUGUCUUGGGAAAUCAGGACUGUUACUUUGAAAAAUUAGAGUGUUUAAAGCAAGCUAACGCUUGAAUACAUUAGCAUGGAAUAAUGAAAUAGGACGUUCGAUCCUAUUUUGUUGGUUUCUAGGAUUGACGUAAUGAUUAAUAGGGAUAGUUGGGGGCAUUAGUAUUCAAUUGUCAGAGGUGAAAUUCUUGGAUUUAUUGAAGACUAACUACUGCGAAAGCAUUUGCCAAGGAUGUUUUCAUUAAUCAAGAACGAAAGUUAGGGGAUCGAAGACGAUCAGAUACCGUCGUAGUCUUAACCAUAAACUAUGCCGACUAGGGAUCGGAUGAUGUUAAUUUUUUAAUGACUCAUUCGGCGCCUUACG